GGAGUUAACGUUUCAAGCAUUAUGUUAAUUGGUGGCCAGUGAUCCAGUCAAUACAAUAUGUUACUAGUCUAAGAAUUGUUAUUUCAAUUAACAUUUCAUUUCAUGUAAUAACUUAACUACCAAAUCUGGGAGAAGUAAUUUUUUCAGAUGUAAGAAGUGAUUUUUUUUUCAGCAGUAACAUAUAGAAACAUAAACUAAUAUUCAGCAGUCAAUGGAGCACUUUCCUAUUAUCAAUUCUUGCCACAGGUUACAUUUUCCUGUAACAACAUCAAUUGUAGUGUUUUAAUAGAGAAAAUAAAAGAAUUUAGUGUAAUAUCAAAUGUUUAAAGUCAUUGUUACAUUUAGUAAAAUUUGCAAAAACAUUUUGCCUGAUUUUAUAUGUAUACACUUGGCUGUUUCUUUUUGUCUCAAAAUAAACCAUAUGGUGUAUUUAUUAGUAAUGUCAUACAUUAAGCGUAUGACAACAUUAGAAAGUUAUGAGAUAGGAUAUUUAUAUAUAUUUAUAGCACCAUAAUACAUAGAUUUUUUCCAUGUCUGAUAUAAUAGAAGAACAAACUUACCAAUAGAUAGAGUCAGUUCUUUAUAAAUGCCUUUUGCCAUUUUGAGCACACAUGCCAAUUUGUUCCCAUGCUCUCUAUUGCUUUUAGCAAGAGUUACACUUAUUUUUUAAGUUGUGUCAAUAUUGUCAACAAUUUUGCUUCUUAUAUUUUUUUUUAUGAAUACUCAGCCACUGUGGCUUUAUGAUUAUUUUUGUAGUUUUAUUAAUAUUAGUGUUUGAUAUUAUAUAUGAUAUCAAAUGUGUAAUAUAUGUUUCUGUCUCUGAUCUGAUCUAAAGUUUCUUGUUCUACACCUCUGCCCUGUGAAGACAAUGGCGUACAGCUGUUAAGGUGGCUUGAUGGUCCUGGCCAUUAUUUAUCUCCUUCAGAAAAAGAGCUUUGUAUAUUGAAAUACAAAAACAUUAAUUUUUUAAAAGUUCAAAUUCAGUAUAUGGAUUUUUCUUUACUAAAUAAUAGUUUAUUGCUUUAAAGAAGGAAAAUAAUCUUAGAUAUUUAGGUAUACCUGAUGGAUAAACUUGUUGACCAUCUGGCUUCCUUAAAAUGUACAUGUCUAUGGGUAAACAAGGGUAAUGGUAAGAGACGUCUAGCUUCAGAUCUGGGUAAAUGUAUGGUGUAAGAAAAUACAAGUAUAUGAGUUGUCUGAGUAACUGAGAUGUGAUGACUUACCUAUAUUUGUUCAGAUGUAGCUAUAAGAAUGAGUGAACACUGUUGCAGAAGAUCAAUUUUACAUAGAUUAGUAGUCAGUUGUGUUAACCUUGUCUAUACCUUUGGCAUUAUCUAGUAGAUGUACAUGCACGUUAGAUUAUUUCUAUCUGGGAUUAUUUAAAUUUGGUCAUAACUGAGACAAGAAGGACCUGUUUAUUUUAUACAUUGUUCUGGUGCGUCUUUAGAACAUAAGUGAAGUGUGAGAGGUUGUUAUAAAUAUUCUAUAUGGUUUAGUGCCGAUUAUUGUAUGAACCUGAAAAUAAAAUACUUCGAUGUUUCCGU
rnacentral:sRNA from 1 species